GUCAUGGAACCCUUGGCUCGUUUCAAAUGUAUUAGCAUCUCAAUUUCGAAAUUUGGAUUGACUCAGCGUAAUAGACUAUUCGCUGAGGACACCUUUCGGGUGGCCGAAUAUCAGAUAACGAUCGAUGCUUACAGCACUCUAUCUAGUCAACUCUUUUAAGAUUAGACCUCAGAUCAGGCAGGAUUACCCGCUGAACUUAA
rnacentral:misc_RNA from 1 species